CUAUCUUUUCUACUGUUUUCAUCUUCUCUGCUGUCUCUGUUUCUUCUACUGUUUGUACUUUCUCUGCUGCUCUCAAUUCUAUCUCUUUUAUUUAUAUCAAUUCCUCUCUCUUCUUUCAUACUGAUUUCUCACUUUCACUCACCUUUUUAGAAGUGUUGUGUAUUUUCAGUGAUUUCUCUCUUUAUUCCUCACACUUCUCUUCUGCACUCACUGCUUUCAAAAAAACAUGUUUUCAUACAUAAGUUUUAUAUAAUACAAUUCAUUUCACUAGCUAUUCAUCAGUUACAUCUCUUGCUUGAAGUAAGUAUAAAAUAUUUAGUAAUUUUAUAUAUUUCAGAGAAAACACUGUCAUUUGAACAGAUUAUACUGAGUGUAUACAAUAUCUCUCUUUUUAUUUAUAAAUUUUAUUUUAACUUAUUGUAGAUGAAAUUGUUCAGAGUCUCUAUAUUAUUGAGAUUAUAAUAGA
rnacentral:sRNA from 2 species